CCAAUUUUUUCCUCUUUUUUGAUCCUUUCCCUCUUUUUUCCCAAACCCCUCCCUCACUUUCACUAAAGAGAAGCUUUUCAGCUUCCAUUUUCUUUCACUUGAAAAAUUAAAACCCUCACUUGAAGAUUAAACCCUCACUUGACAAAUUCACAAUACGUUCUCCACAAUAUGAAAGAUUAAAAAGUUUUUUGACCGUUCAAUUACUUGGGUUCACGCUUGGACCGUCACUGAUGCAAAUGUUUUCUUUCUUCCCCAUUCUAUGAAAGAGAUUCACAACGAUGAGUUUGAUCGUGGGUUCAUAUCUAUGUGAGAGUAACAACAAUUUUUGUUGAAUCGGUGUAUUUUGAAGAAGUAUAUAACAAUCUCUUUUGAAUUCGAGAUAACUCCCGAGGACCUUCAUAGAAGACGCAAUUUCCACUAGCUGCUAUUCCUCUUUCUGCUCUACAUGGUGCUUGAAUCAAUCUCAAGCCUCGAUUUUGUUUUAGGACAACUGAGUCAAAUGCAAGACGAUAUGUUUAUAAUUCUAUGUGUAAGAACUGGGGCGCAAAAAGGCUAAAGUUGUUUGAUAAGGCCUAUGAUCCACUUAAGAGCAGAGCUGAGAUAAUGGAUAGUGUUCCACUGGGGAUUCCACCGGAUCAAUGGAUUUCUUAUGUUGAUUAUCGCUUUAAAGAAAAAACACAGGAAAAAAUUGAACUAGCAUUAAGCCAAAGCACCGUGGAUGAGUCUGAAAUUUCGCCAUUUUGUGUUGGGAAAAGAGCACUCUGGAAGGGUAAGGUGCUUAGGAUUAGGAGCUGUUCCUGGCAGGGCUUUUAGACAAACAAGACUUCGUUACAGAGAAAUGAUGAAUGUUAACACUCAAAUGAUGAAUGCUUUUAAGACGUAUAUGAUAAUGAAAGAAGGGAAGAUACCUGAAGAAUUUGCAGGGAUAUUUGUUUCUCCUCCUCGUUCAACGCCAAGUGAUGCGGCUAGCGGAUCCAUUUCACCCAUGGAUAUAAGAAGAUCAUCCGGUGGAAGUAAUCCUAACGACAACCAUUGAAAUUGCUUGCAAAUGUAUUAGAUAAUUAAGUAUCGUACUCGCUUGAAUGGUCAUAGUAGAUCUUUUGUCCAUAAUGGUUGGAGUGGAUGUUCUGUUUAAAGUUAGUUUUAAGACUAAUUAUAAUAUUGAUGUUUUGUGUUUAAUGGUUGGAGUAGUUGUAUUUAAAGCAAAUUUUUGAGACUAAUGAUAAUUUACUUUAAUGUAUUUUGUGGUUUAUUAAUA